AAUAACACCGCUCCAGCCGGGGGCCUACGCGCGGGAGAAAGUGGAGCUGAGAUUGUAGGAAAUUCAGAGUUAUAUUUUCCAGCCUCUCCAGCCAGAAGUCUCCACUACGUCGUGGGAAACAUAUAUCAAAUGGAGUUGAAAGGCAAAAGGAAGUGAUCAGCGCCACAAGAUGUUGAAACUAAUGGAGACCGCAGAGAUCAUGUGCUAAGGGGCCUUCCUCCUCUGGGGUGGGAGAAGGAAUGUUCUCUGGAGAAAUCUGUAUGAUAGAAUAGUGAAGGUAACUGGCCUGAACUACAGCUCUUGAGCCAUCUGGUUUCACCUUCAGGGAGGUGCAGAGAGUGCUGGAAUGGAGGGUUAAUUGACCAUGGUGGAAAAGAGAGAAACAUUUUGAGGUUUGUGGAUUACCCAGAUGUAACAGUGACUUGCACAUAUUCCUCAUGGUGUUGUAUACAAAUGGAUCAGCAAGAAUCAGAUACUACACAUCACAGAUAAAAUCCAUAGCAACCAGGAAGCAAGAUGGUCACAUGGGAAAAUAGGGGAUGGAAUUUUAUGGAC
ensembl:lncRNA LRIG3-DT LRIG3 divergent transcript